CGCCGGUUAAAGCGGUACGCGAGCUGGGUUCAGACCGUCGUGAGACAGGUCGGUCUCUAUCCGUCGUGGGCGUCUGGAGAUUUGAGAGGAGCUCUCUCUAGUACGAGAGGACCGAGAGGGACAGACCUCUGGUGUGCCAGUUGUCCCGCCCGGGGCAUAGCUGGGUAGCUACGUCUGGUGAGGAUAAGCGCUGAAAGCAUCUAAGUGCGAAGCCAACCUCAAGAUAAGAUCUCCCAUCCUCCCCUUCUGGGGAAGGAGUAAGACCGCAAGUAGACUACUUGUUUGAUAGGCGGUGGGUGUAAGGGCAGUAAUGUUCUGAGCUUAACCGUACUAAUGGUCGAGGGCUUGACCUG
rnacentral:rRNA from 1 species